GGAAAUUUCAAAGUUGAAAGUUGCAAACUUUCAAAGGUGGGAAGUGCCUUCCCCUGUCCAGUUACCUAAGAUAGUUCACAUUGUCACAUGUGUGCGUCCUUUACAAGUGGUUUUGCUUUUGUGUUCUUUACAGUAGUAUAUAGAGUACAGUAGUAUAGUAUCUUUAUUUGAAGGCCAAGAUAUCCCGAAGUGAGCUAAAGCAGUGGUGAUGUAGCUGGUACUACUGUACUUUCCAAGGGCAAAUAGAAGCAUUUGCUGAACACCAGGAGGAGAAGGGGAUGACAGAGGAUGAGAUGGCUCGAUGGCAUCACUGACUCGAUGGAUGUGAGUCUGAGUGAACUCCGGGAGAUGGUGAUGGACAAGGAGGCCUGGCGUGCUGCAAUUCAUGGGGUCGCAAAGAGUCGGACACAACUGAGUGACUGAACUGAACUGAACUGAACUGAACAUCCCUCAGCAAUUCACACUUCCAUGCCUUUGUUUAUGUAAGAAUGUUUUAUCUGUGUCACUGGUUCCAGAAAAAAAUAGAAAUAUUUAAAUCAUUGUUUCACA
ensembl:lncRNA